GGAGGAAAGUAGGGGAUCGAAAGACCUUGCGCUUAAGGAGCGGCCGAUGUCUGAUUAGCUAGUUGGUGGGGUAAAGGCCUACCCAAGGCGACGAUCAGUAGUUGGUCUGAGAGGACGACCAACCACACUGGGACUGAGACACGGCCCAGACUCCUACGGGAGGCAGCAGUGGGGAAUUUUGGACAAUGGGCGCAAGCCUGAUCCAGCCAUGCCGCGUGAGUGAAGAAGGCCUUCGGGUUGUAAAGCUCUUUCAGUUGGGAAGAAACGAUUGCAACUAAUAAUUGUAAUUAAUGACGGUACCGACAGAAGAAGCACCGGCUAACUACGUGCCAGCAGCCGCGGUAAUACGUAGGGUGCGAGCGUUAAUCGGAAUUACUGGGCGUAAAGGGUGCGCAGGCGGUUUUGUAAGUCAGAUGUGAAAUGCCCCGGCUUAACCUGGGAAUGGCGUUUGAAACUACAAAGCUAG
rnacentral:rRNA from 1 species